rnacentral:rRNA from 1 species
GAUGAACGCUGGCGGCGUGCUUAACACAUGCAAGUCGAACGGAAAGGCUCCUGCUUGCAGGGGUACUCGAGUGGCGAACGGGUGAGUAACACGUGGGUGAUCUGCCCUGCACUUCGGGAUAAGCCUGGGAAACUGGGUCUAAUACCGGAUAGGACCACAUUUUGGAUGGUGUGGUGGAAAGUUUUUCGGUGUGGGAUGAGCUCGCGGCCUAUCAGCUUGUUGGUGGGGUAAUGGCCUACCAAGGCGUCGACGGGUAGCCGGCCUGAGAGGGUGCACGGCCACAUUGGGACUGAGAUACGGCCCAGACUCCUACGGGAGGCAGCAGUGGGGAAUAUUGCACAAUGGGCGCAAGCCUGAUGCAGCGACGCCGCGUGGGGGAUGACGGCCUUCGGGUUGUAAACUCCUUUCGCUAGGGACGAAGCGCAAGUGACGGUACCUGGAGAAGAAGCACCGGCUAACUACGUG